rnacentral:rRNA from 1 species
GAUGAACGCUGGCGGCGUGCCUAAUACAUGCAAGUCGAGCGAACAGACGAGGAGCUUGCUCCUCUGACGUUAGCGGCGGACGGGUGAGUAACACGUGGAUAACCUACCUAUAAGACUGGGAUAACUUCGGGAAACCGGAGCUAAUACCGGAUAAUAUAUUGAACCGCAUGGUUCAAUAGUGAAAGACGGUUUUGCUGUCACUUAUAGAUGGAUCCGCGCCGCAUUAGCUAGUUGGUAAGGUAACGGCUUACCAAGGCAACGAUGCAUAGCCGACCUGAGAGGGUGAUCGGCCACACUGGAACUGAGACACGGUCCAGACUCCUACGGGAGGCAGCAGUAGGGAAUCUUCCGCAAUGAGCGAAAGCCUGACGGAGCAACGCCGCGUGAGUGAUGAAGGUCUUCGGAUCGUAAAACUCUGUUAUUAGGGAAGAACAAAUGUGUAAGUAACUAUGCACGUCUUGACGGUACCUAAUCAGAAAGCCACGGCUAACUACGUG